rnacentral:rRNA from 1 species
GCACGAAAGUUAGCCGGUGCUUAUUCUUUCGGUACCGUCAUCCCGUAACGGAACGAUUAACGCCUCACGGAUUUCUUCCCGAACAAAAGUGCUUUACAACCCGAAGGCCUUCUUCACACACGCGGCAUUGCUGGAUCAGGCUUGCGCCCAUUGUCCAAUAUUCCCCA